rnacentral:misc_RNA from 1 species
GAUGAAGAACGUAGCGAAAUGCGAUAAGUAAUGUGAAUUGCAGAAUUCCGUGAAUCAUCGAAUCUUUGAACGCACAUUGCGCCCCUUGGUAUUCCAUGGGGCAUGCCUGUUCGAGCGUCAUUUGUACCUUCAAGCCUUGCUUGGUGUUGGGUGUUUGUCUCGCCUCUGCGCGCAGACUCGCCUCAAAACAAUUGGCAGCCGGCGUAUUGAUUUCGGAGCGCAGUACAUCUCGCGCUUUGCACUCAGAACGACGACGUCCAAAAGUACAUUUUUACACUCUUGACCUCGGAUCAGGUAGGGAUACCCGCUGAACUUAAGCAUAUCAAUAAGCGGAGGA